CUGUCAGCAGAUCCUGAACACUCCUUGGUGGGGACCCAUGCCUCCAAGGCUGCCCCCAAUGCCAGCUGUCCUGGGGAAACUCCCCAGAACUCUCGGGGAAAGGCCCGAGAACCUUCGGAGGAAGCCUCCGGGACUCCUCGCCACCUGCUCUGUUUCUCUCCCGGCCCCAAUGCCUUCAGGAGUCCCCCAAAAUCCACACAGCGACUCGAGCAGCCUUCCACUCAGCCAGAGGAGGGUCGGGCUCCCCCGCCUGCUCUCGGUGGUGGCGUCUGGCCCUUCCUGCCGUUUCCAAGGCCUCCGGAAGCACCAACCCAGUUCUCAGUUACCUCCUCUGGCCGGAAGGCCUCACGUUGUCCUCCAGAGCUGCUCUGGGCCCAGGGCUGGCUCCGUGACCACCUGAUGGACGUGCUGGGCAGCAUGGGCUCCAAAGGCAGCAUCCCCAGCUGUUCUCCCACCCCACCCCAGCUGCCCGGCGGCUGGGCCCAUGAGGGCUCUGGGGACACUUCCAUAGGAAGGGGCCUGGCACUUUGUGAUUGCCACGUGUUUCGUGUUAAG
rnacentral:sRNA from 1 species